rnacentral:rRNA from 1 species
UACGUAGGUGACAAGCGUUGUCCGGAUUUACUGGGUGUAAAGAGCGCGCAGGCGGUCGAUCAAGUCGAGUGUGAAAGCCCCCGGCUCAACUGGGGAGGGUCAUUCGAUACUGAUCGACUCGAAGGCAGGAGAGGGUAGUGGAAUUCCCGGUGUAGUGGUGAAAUGCGUAGAUAUCGGGAGGAACACCAGUGGCGAAGGCGACUACCUGGCCUGUUCUUGACGCUGAGGCGCGAAAGCUAGGGGAGCAAACGGG